GCCAGUUUGGUGGCUAUGACCCUCGGCUUGUAACCUAGUGGGCUCGGGUUCAAAUCCCGAGUAAGACU